rnacentral:lncRNA from 1 species
CAUGGCAGAAAAGUCCACUGGGAAAACUGGAAUGUUCAAAAUUCUUACCAGGAAUCUUUUUGGCCCAGGCAAUCAUGUGGACCAGUUCUUUGUCUGCAAGCUUCGUCAGCGACAUCAUCAUGGAGGCUUCUGUAAAUGGUUUGCUGGGGCGGCUCACCAACACAUUUGGUGGCUCGGCUUCAAGUAAUAUGGAAACGAACUGUUCCGGGGUCAGUGCAUUGACCAGCAGUUCUUUUACUUGAAUUAUGGCUUCAUUGUUCUUCUUAACUUUGCCUACGCAGUGCACGGGAUCGUCUGAGUUACGGUGGCGGCGAAUUAUGCGAUAGCCACAGCGCUCUCUUCUUGAACCUGAAAUUCACAAUAUUUCAGAACUAAAGGAAGUUUUUCAUUAACCCAGUCACCACAUUUCCCUUGUGC